rnacentral:misc_RNA from 1 species
GUCGUAUUGAAGGAAGCUGAGGAGAUUGAUAGGAAGAUUGCGGAGAAUGAGGAAUUGGGUCCGCUUGCUGGGGUUUUGGUUGGGGUUAAGGAUAAUAUUUGUACUUCUGAUAUGCCAUCAACUGCAGGGUCAAAGAUUUUGGAAAAUUAUCGACCCCCUUUUGAUGCUACUGCUGUUGGGAAGAUGAAAAAGUGUGGUGCAAUUGUUAUUGGGAAAACGAAUAUGGAUGAAUUUGGUAUGGGGAGUACUACGGAAGGCUCGGGUUAUCAGGUGACAGCUAAUCCUUGGGAUUUGUCCCGGGUACCAGGUGGUUCAUCAGGGGGCUCAGCUGCAGCUGUUUCUGCUAGACAAUGUAUGGUGUCAUUGGGAAGUGAU